rnacentral:rRNA from 1 species
UACGUAGGGUGCAAGCGUUGUCCGGAAUUAUUGGGCGUAAAGAGCUCGUAGGCGGUCUGUCACGUCGGCUGUGAAAACCUGGGGCUCAACUCCGGGCCUGCAGCCGAUACGGGCAGACUAGAGUUCGGCAGGGGAGACUGGAAUUCCUGGUGUAGCGGUGAAAUGCGCAGAUAUCAGGAGGAACACCGGUGGCGAAGGCGGGUCUCUGGGCCGAAACUGGACGCUGGAGGAAGCGAAAGCGUGGGGAGCAAACAGG